CGUUGUAACUGGCUACCGACGGGAAGAAAACGGGCGCACCACCGUCUUCUCAGCCACUAUAUAUUCGCGCAGAGCUAGCCGUCGUGCUUCUAAAUUCCAAAUUUCGGCUGCUUGGCAGAUCAUCCGAUGAAGAAAAAGCCAUAAUUCAGCGAUUUCUCCGGCUCGUUGAAGUUGAUUUGGAUUCAAAUCCCUUUCUUUUAUGACAUGAUUUGUGGAUCCCUAGGGUUAGGGGUUCUUGGAUCUGAUUCUCUGAUUGAUGAAGAAGCUCUACGAGCUUUCGUUCUGGUUUAGAAUCCAAUGAGACGGCGCUUACCGGUUUCCACAACCCCCGAAGAGAUGGAGAAGUCCAACGGGAAGACCCCUCGUUCUCGUGUAUGCUUUCUAGCCUCGCUGGCGGCUGUGUUCUGGUUCUUCAUCUUUUACUUCCACUUUGCUGUGCUAAGCAGUAGCCCUCCCGACCAAUCCAUGCAAGCUGUCUCGUUCCCUUCAACUUCAUCUUAUACCGAGCAACAUGUUACCCAUCCAAUGGAGCACCAUAUUUCACAUACCAGGGCGAUGUCAGCGGAGAAAAAAUUCCCAUUUAUGCGCGCCCUCGGAACAGCCGAGAACAAGAGCGAUCCGUGCGGCGGAAGGUACAUCUAUGUUCACGAUCUCCCUUCUCGGUUCAAUGAAGACAUGCUUAGGGAUUGCCGGAAACUCAGCCUUUGGACCAACAUGUGCAAGUUCACUAGCAAUGCCGGUCUUGGACCUCCACUUGAUAAUGUUGAAGGGGUUUUCUCAAACACUGGAUGGUAUGCUACCAACCAGUUUGCAGUGGAUGUGAUUUUCAGAAACAGGAUGAAGCAGUAUGAGUGCUUGACUAAAGAUUCUUCAAUUGCUGCUGCUGUUUUUGUGCCCUUCUAUGCAGGUUUUGACAUAGCAAGGUACCUUUGGGGAUUUAACAUAUCAACGAGAGAUUCAGCUUCUCUCGAUUUGGUGAAUUGGCUAAUGAAACGGCCUGAGUGGAAUGUGAUGGGUGGAAGAGACCAUUUCUUGGUUGCAGGGAGGAUUACUUGGGAUUUCAGGAGGUUGUCGGAUACGGAUUCUGAUUGGGGUAACAAGCUUCUGUUCUUGCCUGCGGCGAAGAAUAUGUCUAUGCUUGUUGUUGAAUCAAGCCCUUGGAAUGCCAAUGAUUUUGGGAUACCAUACCCAACAUAUUUUCACCCAGCUAAAGAUUCAGAUGUGUUGUCCUGGCAGGAUAGAAUGAGGAAAUUGGAGAGGAAGUGGCUUUUCUCAUUUGCCGGAGCACCUCGCCCGGGUAAUCCUAAAUCGAUCAGAGGGCAAAUUUUGGACCAGUGCAAGAAAACAUCGGCUUGUAAACUUUUGGAAUGUGAUUUUGGAGAGAGCAAAUGCCACUCUCCUAGCAGCAUUAUGCAGAUGUUUCAAGGGUCGCUGUUCUGUUUGCAACCUCAGGGGGAUUCCUAUACCAGGAGAUCUGCCUUUGAUUCUAUGCUGGCUGGUUGUAUACCAGUUUUUUUUCACCCUGGUUCAGCAUACACACAGUAUACAUGGCAUCUUCCAAGGGAUUAUACAAAAUAUUCUGUUUUUAUCCCAGAAGAUGACAUUCGAAAGAGAAAUCUUAGCUUAGAGGAAAGGCUAAAGCUGAUUCCUCCAGAUGUUGUGCAGACUAUGCGAGAGACGGUUAUAAGCCUCAUUCCUAGUAUUGUCUAUGCUGAUCCAAGAUCAAAAUUGGAGACCCUUAAGGAUGCCUUUGAUGUUUCGGUUCAGGCAGUAAUCAACAAAGUUACAAAACUUCGUAAGGACAUAAUUGAAAAUCAUGAAGAUAAGGAUUUUGUGGAGGAGAAUAGCUGGAAGUAUGCUUUGCUGGAGGAAGGAAAACGGACGGUUGGAGCUCAUGAAUGGGAUCCUUUCUUUUCAAAACCCAAGGAUGCUAACAAUGAUUCUGGUAGCUUAUCUGCAGAAGCUGCAAAGAGUUCAUGGAAAAAUGAACAGCGGGAUCAAUCUUGAGUUUUGGGCUGAGAAAUGCAGUUGAAGCGCAGAAAUGAAUUUGUAUCAUCAUGAUACUUGGUGUUGGAUUUGAUGCAAUUUGAGUGGGGUAUUCCAAGAAAUUCUACAUCCAUUUCAAUUAGAAAUGGCAAUGCAAGGUAAUAUGGGAAACGUAUCUAGAGGUAAGCAAUAAAGGAGCAGUAAAUCCUAAUAGUGCAAGUGAAAGUUGAUUCGCAUGCAGAUAGGUCUGAAAAGAGUGCAAAUUACAAGGGAAUGAGAAGAAUUAUGGCAAAGUAAAAUGCUACGCACCGAGUGAAUUGUAGAAGGUCAAGGACAAAAAAGUCAAGGACUAGGGGAAUUUGCAAGUUUUGUGUGAUGAAGAAUCAAAUGAAAUGCUACUUAACAACUGAUUAAUGUUUCUGUUUGAGCCAAGUUGGAAACAAGGUAAAAAUUUUCCAAUGACAGUGUAAGGACAAGAAGACAUUGCUGGAGGAUCCGGACAGAGUGUUGCAGGGUUCAGGCAGUCGUGAUAGAGACCUUCGUCU